rnacentral:rRNA from 16 species
GUCGGCCUGCGCGGAAGAUGUACCGGGGCUCAAACUGUACACCGAAGCUGCGGAUCUCUUUUGAGAUGGUAGAGGAGCGUUCUGUAAGCUGAUGAAGGUGAAUUGAGAAGUUUGCUGGAGGUAUCAGAAGUGCGAAUGCUGACAUGAGUAACGAUAAGGGGGGUGAAAAACCUCCCCGCCGGAAGAUCAAGGUUUCCUGUCCAACGCUAAUCGGGACAGGGUUAGGCGGCCCCUAAGGCGAGGCAGACAUGCGUAGUCGAUGGGAAGCAGGUUAAUAUUCCUGCGCUGCUUUUUACUGCGAUGGGGGGACGGAGAAGGCUAGGCGAUCGCGGCGUUGGUUGUCCGCGUUCAAGGGUGUAGGUUUAGGACUUAGGCAAAUCCGGGUCCUUUUAAGACUGAGACCUGAUAACGAGCUCCUACCGAGAGGUUCGAGUGAAGUCGUCGAUGCCCUGCUUCCAGGAAAAGCCUCUAAGCAUCAGGUAACAUCAAAUCGUACCCCAAACCGACACAGGUGGUCAGGUAGAGAAUACUAAGGCGCUUGAGAGAACUCGGGUGAAGGAACUAGGCAAAAUGGUACCGUAACUUCGGGAGAAGGUACGCUGUUGACGGUGAUGGGACUUGCUCCCUAAGCUAUUGACAGUCGCAGAGACCAGGUGGCUGGAACUGUUUAUUAAAAACACAGCACUGUGCAAAAUCGAAAGAUGACGUAUACGGUGUGACGCCUGCCCGGUGCCGGAAGGUUAAUUGAUG